rnacentral:rRNA from 1 species
AGCGAACGCUGGCGGCAGGCCUAACACAUGCAAGUCGAACGGAUCCUUCGGGAUUAGUGGCGGACGGGUGAGUAACACGUGGGAACGUGCCCUUUGGUUCGGAACAACUCAGGGAAACUUGAGCUAAUACCGGAUGUGCCCUUCGGGGGAAAGAUUUAUCGCCAUUGGAGCGGCCCGCGUCUGAUUAGCUAGUUGGUGGGGUAAAGGCCCACCAAGGCGACGAUCAGUAGCUGGUCUGAGAGGAUGAUCAGCCACAUUGGGACUGAGACACGGCCCAAACUCCCACGGGAGGCAGCAGUGGGGAAUCUUGCGCAAUGGGCGAAAGCCUGACGCAGCCAUGCCGCGUGAAUGAUGAAGGUCUUAGGAUUGUAAAAUUCUUUCACCGGGGACGAUAAUGACGGUACCCGGAGAAGAAGCCCCGGCUAACUUCGUGCCAGCCGCCGCCGUAACAC